rnacentral:ncRNA from 1 species
UAUAAUCUGCCACCGGGUAGAGAAUGCAUAAAGCAUUUGUUACACAUCAUUAGGUCUUUGAAGAUGUGUUUACAAGUGCUUAUUUUUUU